AAGGCGUAUACACAGAACAAUUUCCACAAUGAACAGCAAACUACUUAUUUUCUUCCUCGUUAUUGGGAUUCUUUUGGCGGAGUUAUGUACAUUUGAAGCGGCUAGUAGGUUUGGUGUGAGGCGUAGAAGAGUCAAGGGACGUGCACUAGAGGCUCAGGACGAUCAAUAUAUUGACGACGACGAAGAUAAUGGAUAUGAAGACCCAAAGAAAAGAUUCCUCUAUAACGAGAAUGACGAUUAUUACGAUUAAAUCUACCUCAUGCAACUAAUCGAGUAUUGAUUGUAUCAAAGGUUUAUGCAAUGUUCAAAUAAUGUAUACCGUAAUCGAUAAAACAAUGGGUUAUGUGUCGCUGUAAGGUUAUUAUUGUAGUGUUUCAAUAAUUCUGAAUUGAUGUAAUGUAAUGAUGUCUGUACUACAAUAACAUAUGUAUAAUACAAUCAUAUUAUGUUAUGUAAUCUUGUGUGUGGAAAAUAAUAUUUCUCAAUAUUAGAA